CCUACGGGAGGCUGCAGUGGGGAAUAUUGGACAAUGGGCGAAAGCCUGAUCCAGCCAUGCCGCGUGUGUGAAGAAGGCCUUCGGGUUGUAAAGCACUUUCAGUGGGGAAGAAAGCCCUGGGGCUAAUACCCUCGAGGAAGGACAUCACCCACAGAAGAAGCACCGGCUAACUCCGUGCCAGCAGCCGCGGUAAUACGGAGGGUGCGAGCGUUAAUCGGAAUUACUGGGCGUAAAGCGCGCGUAGGCGGUCUGAUAAGCCGGUUGUGAAAGCCCCGGGCUCAACCUGGGAACGGCAUCCGGAACUGUCAGGCUAGAGUGCAGGAGAGGAAGGUAGAAUUCCCGGUGUAGCGGUGAAAUGCGUAGAGAUCGGGAGGAAUACCAGUGGCGAAGGCGGCCUUCUGGACUGACACUGACGCUGAGGUGCGAAAGCGUGGGUAGCAAACAGGAUUAGAUACCCGAGUAGUC
rnacentral:rRNA from 1 species